rnacentral:rRNA from 1 species
AGGCGAUGAAGGACGUGCUAAUCUGCGAUAAGCGUCGGUGAGGUGAUAUGAACCGUUAUAACCGGCGAUUUCCGAAUGGGGAAACCCAGUGUGUUUCGACACACUAUCAUUAACUGAAUCCAUAGGUUAAUGAGGCGAACCGGGGGAACUGAAACAUCUAAGUACCCCGAGGAAAAGAAAUCAACCGAGAUUCCCCCAGUAGCGGCGAGCGAACGGGGAGGAGCCCAGAGCCUGAAUCAGUGUGUGUGUUAGUGGAAGCGUCUGGAAAGGCGUGCGAUACAGGGUGACAGCCCCGUACACAAAAAUGCACAUAUUGUGAGCUCGAUGAGUAGGGCGGGACACGUGGUAUCCUGUCUGAAUAUGGGGGGACCAUCCUCCAAGGCUAAAUACUCCUGACUGACCGAUAGUGAACCAGUACCGUGAGGGAAAGGCGAAAAGAACCCCGGCGAGGGGAGUGAAAAAGAACCUGAAACCGUGUACGUACAAGCAGUGGGAGCCUCUUAAUGGGGUGACUGCGUACCUUUUGUAUAAUGGGUCAGCGACUUAUAUUCUGUAGCAAGGUUAACCGAAUAGGGGAGCCGAAGGGAAACCGAGUCUUAACUGGGCGUUAAGUUGCAGGGUAUAGACCCGAAACCCGGUGAUCUAGCCAUGGGCAGGUUGAAGGUUGGGUAACACUAACUGGAGGACCGAACCGACUAAUGUUGAAAAAUUAGCGGAUGACUUGUGGCUGGGGGUGAAAGGCCAAUCAAACCGGGAGAUAGCUGGUUCUCCCCGAAAGCUAUUUAGGUAGCGCCUCGUGAAUUCAUCUCCGGGGGUAGAGCACUGUUUCGGCAAGGGGGUCAUCCCGACUUACCAACCCGAUGCAAACUGCGAAUACCGGAGAAUGUUAUCACGGGAGACACACGGCGGGUGCUAACGUCCGUCGUGAAGAGGGAAACAACCCAGACCGCCAGCUAAGGUCCCAAAGUCAUGGUUAAGUGGGAAACGAUGUGGGAAGGCCCAGACAGCCAGGAUGUUGGCUUAGAAGCAGCCAUCAUUUAAAGAAAGCGUAAUAGCUCACUGGUCGAGUCGGCCUGCGCGGAAGAUGUAACGGGGCUAAACCAUGCACCGAAGCUGCGGCAGCGACACUAUGUGUUGUUGGGUAGGGGAGCGUUCUGUAAGCCUGUGAAGGUGGCCUGUGAGGGUUGCUGGAGGUAUCAGAAGUGCGAAUGCUGACAUAAGUAACGAUAAAGCGGGUGAAAAGCCCGCUCGCCGGAAGACCAAGGGUUCCUGUCCAACGUUAAUCGGGGCAGGGUGAGUCGACCCCUAAGGCGAGGCCGAAAGGCGUAGUCGAUGGGAAACAGGUUAAUAUUCCUGUACUUGGUGUUACUGCGAAGGGGGGACGGAGAAGGCUAUGUUGGCCGGGCGACGGUUGUCCCGGUUUAAGCGUGUAGGCUGGUUUUCCAGGCAAAUCCGGAAAACCAAGGCUGAGGCGUGAUGACGAGGCACUACGGUGCUGAAGCGACAAAUGCCCUGCUUCCAGGAAAAGCCUCUAAGCAUCAGGUAACAUCAAAUCGUACCCCAAACCGACACAGGUGGUCAGGUAGAGAAUACCAAGGCGCUUGAGAGAACUCGGGUGAAGGAACUAGGCAAAAUGGUGCCGUAACUUCGGGAGAAGGCACGCUGAUAUGUAGGUGAAGCGACUUGCUCGUGGAGCUGAAAUCAGUCGAAGAUACCAGCUGGCUGCAACUGUUUAUUAAAAACACAGCACUGUGCAAACACGAAAGUGGACGUAUACGGUGUGACGCCUGCCCGGUGCCGGAAGGUUAAUUGAUGGGGUUAGCGGCAACGCGAAGCUCUUGAUCGAAGCCCCGGUAAACGGCGGCCGUAACUAUAACGGUCCUAAGGUAGCGAAAUUCCUUGUCGGGUAAGUUCCGACCUGCACGAAUGGCGUAAUGAUGGCCAGGCUGUCUCCACCCGAGACUCAGUGAAAUUGAACUCGCUGUGAAGAUGCAGUGUACCCGCGGCAAGACGGAAAGACCCCGUGAACCUUUACUAUAGCUUGACACUGAACAUUGAGCCUUGAUGUGUAGGAUAGGUGGGAGGCUUUGAAGUGUGGACGCCAGUCUGCAUGGAGCCGACCUUGAAAUACCACCCUUUAAUGUUUGAUGUUCUAACGUUGGCCCGUAAUCCGGGUUGCGGACAGUGUCUGGUGGGUAGUUUGACUGGGGCGGUCUCCUCCUAAAGAGUAACGGAGGAGCACGAAGGUUGGCUAAUCCUGGUCGGACAUCAGGAGGUUAGUGCAAUGGCAUAAGCCAGCUUGACUGCGAGCGUGACGGCGCGAGCAGGUGCGAAAGCAGGUCAUAGUGAUCCGGUGGUUCUGAAUGGAAGGGCCAUCGCUCAACGGAUAAAAGGUACUCCGGGGAUAACAGGCUGAUACCGCCCAAGAGUUCAUAUCGACGGCGGUGUUUGGCACCUCGAUGUCGGCUCAUCACAUCCUGGGGCUGAAGUAGGUCCCAAGGGUAUGGCUGUUCGCCAUUUAAAGUGGUACGCGAGCUGGGUUUAGAACGUCGUGAGACAGUUCGGUCCCUAUCUGCCGUGGGCGCUGGAGAACUGAGGGGGGCUGCUCCUAGUACGAGAGGACCGGAGUGGACGCAUCACUGGUGUUCGGGUUGUCAUGCCAAUGGCACUGCCCGGUAGCUAAAUGCGGAAGAGAUAAGUGCUGAA